GCGGCCACGUCCUAAUUUAAAAACAUACAAAUGGAGAAAAGUUUUUAGAUUGAGACAAAAUUCAGAUUUGAAAACUCUUGAUCUACAUAGCUCUAAUUUAAUUUCAAUUAUUCACAUAUAAGGUAAUGAUAAUUCUAACAACUUACUCACUUCUCAUUUAUUCAAUAAUAUUCAUUGAGCCACUCCCUCCCUAGGUACCCUAUAUGCCAGGCACUGUGGCACACAAUUUCUGGCAUGUUCACAUCUACUGAAUUUCACAACAUCCUCACUAAACCAAGGAAGGCACGUGAUUAUAUUACUUUCAUUUUAUGGAUGCAGAAAACAGCUCAGAAAGGUUGCUGUGAAGAUGAAACGAAGUACUACACAUAAAGUCUUUAUGAUGGUGCCUGGCAUACAAUUUCUUCUUUCCUCCAUAAAUAUGUAGUGGGAUCAGCAACACAUACAGAAUUAUGGGAUCCAGAGAAAAGCUGGCUGCUGUGGCUCACCCCUGUAAUCCCAGCACUUUGGGAGGCCGAAGCGGGCAGAUCACUUGAGCCCCUGCACCUAGAAGAAGAUCUGCUAUGCCAGGCACAGUGGCUUGCACCUGUCAUCCCAGCACUUUGGGAGGCUGAGGCAGUUGGAUCACCUGAGGACAGGAGUUUGAGACCAGCCUAGCCAACAUGGUGAAACCCCGUCUCUACUAAAAAUACAAAAAUUAGCCGGGCGUGGUGGCUCAUGUCUGUAAUUCCAGCUACUCGGGA
rnacentral:lncRNA from 10 species